CUUAUCAUUCUUUUCUUCUUCGUUUGUUCGUCUGUUCUGUCUUGUAAAAUGCUAAUGAUAUACAUGAAAAAAUCUCUAUAUUCUGAUUGGCUAAGAGCAGUGCAAUUUUUCGAAAUACAGUGCCAAAAAAUGAAAUGCAGUGCAAAAAAGUGAAAUACAGUGCCAAAAAAUGAAAUGCAGUGCCAAAAAGUGAAAUACAGUGCAAAAAAAUGAAAU